CGGUGCGUUUAAAGUGCUUUCCCAUAAUGCACCGCUCCCUGAGCCAGUAUGGCCGAACCGGGUAAACGUGCUUCUUAACUUCUACUUUUGUUUUUCGCGUUGUACCUCGUUGCUUUGGUACACUUGAGUCGGUAAGGCACGAAACGUCUUCGACGAUGAUGUUUUUCUCUGUCUGGUGUUUUCUGUGCAUCAUUGCAGGCGCUUUCGGCGCCGAAGUGGAAGAUGUCUCCGAGGACCAGUGGGACUACUCGGGGUACUUGAUGUCAGUAUGGAAAAACAGACUGUACAUGUACUCGGCUGCAGCAGUCUUCCUUGGGGUCUGGUUCACGCUAAAGAUGGCGAAGAAAAAAACCGCAUCUGGCCAGCAUGCAGAUGCUGGAAUCAGCAAAACGGCAAAAGAGGGAGGAUAUUCCGCUGUAAAGGAGAAGAGAAAGGUUCAUGUGUCAGGGGUGAAGAUUUUCUACGGAUCACAGACUGGAACGGCGAAGGGAUUUGCCGUGGAUCUGGCCAAGGAAGUCCAGGCCCUGGGCCUCACGGCGGAGGUGAUUGACAUGAAGGAGUACGACCCAGAGGACAGCCUGUCUGAGGAGUGUACCAGUAAAUCCAUCUGCGUAUUCCUACUGGCCACCUACACGGAUGGGAAGCCCACAGAGAACGCGGAGUGGUUCUGCAAGUGGGUGGAGGAGGCAUCCAUGGAUUUCCGCUAUGGAAAGACCUACCUGAAGGGCAUGCGCUUUGCUGUCUUUGGGCUGGGGAAUUCCGUGUACGAGGGACACUACAACACGGUGGGUAAGCACGUGGACCGGUGGCUGUGGAUGCUGAGUGCCACGCGGGUGCUGUCACGCGGGGAGGGCGACGGCAACGUGGUGAGGAGCCGACACGGCAGCCUGCAGGCCGACUUCCUCAGCUGGCGGAGCCGCUUCCUGAAGAGGCUGCAGGCCCUGGCCAGGGGCGAGAAGAAGGCCUGCGGGGGCAAGUGCAAGAAGGGCACCUGCAAGAAGCACAAGGGGGCGCAAGAGCAGUCGGAGCCUGGCAGUGAGGGGGCGGAGCACCAGAGCUCCGAGGAGUCCAGCAGUGAUACGGGAUCAGCCACGGAUGAGGAGACGGCCAGCCGCUUGGUGGUGGAUGUGGAGGACCUGGGGGUGGUGAUGAGCCGCGUGAAGAAAGCAAAGGAUGAGACGGACAACGGCCGGGAGCUGCUGACGAGGAGGAAGAGCGAGGAGGAGGCCAGAGAGAUGAUCACUCCGGCGCUGAGGGAGGCUCUGACUAAGCAAGGGUACCGGCUGAUCGGGAGCCACUCGGGGGUGAAGCUGUGUCGCUGGACCAAGUCGAUGCUGCGAGGACGAGGGGGCUGCUACAAGCACACCUUCUACGGUAUCGAGUCGCACCGCUGCAUGGAAGCCACCCCCAGCCUCGCCUGCGCCAACAAAUGCGUCUUCUGCUGGAGGCAUCAUACUAACCCUGUAGGCACCGAGUGGCGCUGGAAGAUGGAUCCGCCUGAGAUGAUCUUGCAGGAGGCCAUUGAGAACCAUCAGAACCUCAUAAAGCAGUUCAGAGGGGUUCCCGGUGUGCUCCCGGAGCGCUUUGAGGAGGGCCUGGCGGUGCAGCACUGUGCCCUGUCCCUGGUGGGUGAGCCCAUUAUGUACCCGGAGGUGAACGCUUUCAUACGGCUGCUGCACCAACGGCGCAUCUCCAGCUUCCUGGUCACCAACGCGCAGUUCCCUGAGGAAAUCAGGAACCUGGUGCCUGUGACUCAGCUGUACGUCAGCGUGGACGCCAGUACCAAAGACAGCCUGAAGCGUAUCGACCGGCCUCUCUUCAAGGACUUUUGGCAGCGCUUCCUGGACAGCCUGAGAGCACUAGGCGAAAAGCAACAGCGCACCGUGUACCGCCUGACCCUGGUCAAAGCCUGGAACGUGGACGAGCUCAAGGCCUACGCAGAACUCGUCUCCUUGGGCCAGCCAGACUUUGUGGAGGUGAAGGGGGUGACGUACUGCGGGGAGAGCUCCGCCAGCAGCCUGACCAUGGCCAACGUGCCCUGGCACGAGGAGGUCCUGUACUUCGUCAGGCAGUUGGCUGACCAGUUGCCUGAUUAUGACAUCGCCUCUGAACACGAGCACUCAAACUGCAUCCUUAUUGCCCAUCGCAAGUUCAAGGUGGCUGGCGAGUGGCACACAUGGAUUGACUACGACCGCUUCCAAGAACUUGUGCGUCUUCAUGACGACACCGACAGCCAGACGAGCUUCUCGGCCGAGGACUACAUGGCCAGGACCCCCGACUGGGCCGUCUUCGGAGCCUGCGGAAGGGGAUUCGACCCAGCGGACACCCGCUUUCAGCGAAAGAACAAGACCAGAGAUGUUUCUGGGUGCUGAUGUCAGUUUAGUGACUGAUCUGCGCCCCUUUCAGUUCAAGAUGAGUUUUCCUGGGAGUGGGGGCCAUGGGUGUGUUCUUUCUGUUUUUAAUCCUGUGCUCUCCUGCCGAGGCGGAGAAGCCAAUCUCCACUCUGCUUUUACAGCUCGCUGGUAGAACAUUUAGUCGGACAUCAUCAUUUUCUGCUUAGAUGUCACUGUCACACAUCAGCCAUCCCAUCUCUGCCUCCGUGCGGAAGCUUAACUGCUGGAUUGCUCUGCUGGGCGGGGGCUUGGUGAUCUGAGGGGAAUUGCUAAAUGCUUGUGCAAUUUUUACUCCCUAGACGGACUUGGUUUGUUGGCUGUUAUAUGCCUUCAAAUCCCCCCCCCCCCCACAGACCUCUCUCAACGAAGAAUCUCAACACCUCCAGUGAGAACACGCUGAACUCAAAGGUUUACCUGCACUCCAAACAGUCAGCCAACGAAGAUGUGACCCUGAACAAGCCUGGCACAGGCAGGCCUGACAGUGGUGGGGCUGUGAACACGAAGGCGGCUUGUCUGGGGUGUCUGUGCCCUCUGCCAUCCCAUGGGGUCUCUGCUCAGCGUGCCCGACAGUGAUCGGGCCCUGCAGGCGGCUCUGAGAAGGCUGCUUGCAGAAUCACUGCUGGCUUAAGAAGAAUUACCCAUAAUUCCCUUGUUAGCUGAUGAGAGUCAAUUAACCAGAGGGCUACAAAACCGCCGUUUCCCAGCACGUUAGUGUUUCUGAAAUUUAUGUUUUUGAGCUGGGGGAUUUGCAUUUUAAUGGCAUAAUAAACUUGAAAGACUAACGACUUGUAUCGGAUCUCAAUAAACGCUACGCAUUGCAAAUAAUUAGUUGGAACCGGUCUUGGCAGCGAGAGAUGGCCACAAUCGCUGUCUGCCCGCUGGUGUGCUUUUUCAUUGGGUCAUGACCCAAGAUGGUCUUGCAGUGACAGUGGGCCUCACCACGCUAGGAAUCGGAGCUGCUCGGCUCAACUGACUUUGGACUUCGCUUCUUUGACUGUUGGGGGCCCAUUCUCGCUAAUAAUCCCGCCCACUGGGUUUAGGGUUUGAGCCCUGGGUGAGCUCUUGCAUGACCUACAGCAGCUGGCCUCCAGCUUUCAGUGUAAACUGUUCCAUUCCCCACCACAAGGUGGUGCCAUGCAAAGUAAUGAGGAUCAAUUCUGACAUGCCGAAUCUCCAGUGGCCCCUGAAUGCUGCUUGUGCCUGAGGCCUUAGAGGGGCAUUCAGAGACUGACUGGCAUCUUGAUGAGGUGGAUUUGCAGAAGAAUUAGGCUGACAGGGGAUGGAAGAUGCCCACCCCCCAUCCCUGAGGUCACAGCUGGGAACCCUAUCCUGUUACGCCCCCUAUUGGCCAGGAUGGAGUACAGCAGCACUAGUUCCAUGCUAUGACUUGCAAGUGAAGCUUUGGAUAUUGGCUCUGCAAUGCGGAUGAUUUUAGUCAUAUUUCCAGGCGUGUUCUAGGCAUGUCCACUGAAAGUUUUUCUUUACUUCUUUUUAGUAUUUUGUCCUCUAUAUGUGUAUCAUUUGCAUAGAUAAGACUUAUCACUUAAAACAUCAUGUUCCGCAAGUGAUCGGAUUGUCCUAGAGGUCUGUUUUGCUCAGUUUGCGGCAUGUUGGGGGCGCAGAGACAUCAGAUGUGAUCACAGCAGUGUGACGGCAGCAGUGUGGAACUCCUUCAGGUCUAACAUGCUCUGGAUAACAAGCUCUGAUCCCCACAUGGAGCUCGAGGACGACUCCGUCUAGCUGUCAUCGUCCCCUGUGUCCCUGGCAGCAGAGGUGGCCGCUUUCGGUCCAGAUACAGGUCUUUCCAGCGGCCUGCCAUCCACCUGGCGCCAUUAAAAGCUAAGCUGGAGUGGGGACUUAGCUUCUCUGCCGGUGUGUCUGGUGGACACCUCCCCAGCAGCCCGUCUCUCCACCCUGUGUCAAACGCAGGCUAGGUGUUCUGGAUAUUUGAGCAGCAGAGUAGAAGAGGUCUUUGAUUAAGAAGAAUGAUGUGUAAAUAUGAUCCCCCAUAAACUCCUGGUGAUUAAACGCUCCCAACAGAAAAAAAUAAUCACAGGACACCAUUCAGAAAUAGCUGCUGUGUGUGUGUGUGUGUGUGUGUGUCUGGCCAGCUAAAACAAGGGGUUCCCCUCUUCAGGACCAGAGUAGCCCCUUUGCAUAAUUAAUCAGCUAUGUGUAACAGCAUGAUGUUCGUAACAGGGCUAAGAAUUAACUUCGAGAGGUUGACUUGCA